rnacentral:rRNA from 1 species
UACGUAGGGGGCUAGCGUUGUCCGGAAUUAUUGGGCGUAAAGAGCUCGUAGGCGGUUUGUCGCGUCUGCUGUGAAAACUCGGGGCUCAACUCCGAGCUUGCAUUCGAUACGGGCAGGCUAGAGUUCGGUGAGGGGAGGACUGGAAUUCCUGGUGGUAGCGGUGAAAAUGCGCAGAUAUCAGGAGGAACACCGGUGGCGAAGGCGGGUCUCUGGGCCGAUACUGACGCUGAGGAGCGAAAGCGUGGGGAGCGAACAGG